rnacentral:rRNA from 1 species
AGAGUUUGAUCCUGGCUCAGAUUGAACGCUGGCGGCAUGCUUUACACAUGCAAGUCGAACGGCAGCAUAGAGAGCUUGCUCUCUGAUGGCGAGUGGCGAACGGGUGAGUAAUACAUCGGAACGUGUCCGUUUGUGGGGGACAACCACCCGAAAGGGUGGCUAAUACCGCAUAAGACCUGAGGGUGAAAGCCGGGGACCGCAAGGCCUGGCGCGAACGGAGCGGCCGAUGACUGAUUAGCUGGUUGGCGGGGUAAAGGCCCACCAAGGCGACGAUCAGUAGCUGGUCUGAGAGGACGACCAGCCACACUGGAACUGAGACACGGUCCAGACUCCUACGGGAGGCAGCAGUGGGGAAUUUUGGACAAUGGGGGCAACCCUGAUCCAGCCAUGCCGCGUGCGGGAAGAAGGCCUUCGGGUUGUAAACCGCUUUUGUCAGGGACGAAAAGGUGCGGGUUAAGAGCUAGCACUGAUGACGGUACCUGAAGAAUAAGCACCGGCUAACUACGUGCCAGCAGCCGCGGUAAUACGUAGGGUGCGAGCGUUAAUCGGAAUUACUGGGCGUAAAGCGUGCGCAGGCGGUUGGGUAAGACAGAUGUGAAAUCCCCGGGCUUAACCUGGGAACUGCAUUUGUGACUGUCCGACUGGAGUAUGUCAGAGGGGGGUGGAAUUCCAAGUGUAGCAGUGAAAUGCGUAGAUAUUUGGAAGAACACCGAUGGCGAAGGCAGCCCCCUGGGGCAAAACUGACGCUCAUGCACGAAAGCGUGGGGAGCAAACAGGAUUAGAUACCCUGGUAGUCCACGCCCUAAACGAUGUCUACUGGUUGUUGGAGGGUAAAACCUUCAGUAACGAAGCUAACGCGUGAAGUAGACCGCCUGGGGAGUACGGUCGCAAGAUUAAAACUCAAAGGAAUU